CAGCAGCCACGGUAAUACGGAGGGUGCAAGCGUUACUCGGAAUUACUGGGCGUAAAGCGUGCGUAGGUGGUGGUUUAAGUCCGUUGUGAAAGCCCUGGGCUCAACCUGGGAAUUGCAGUGGAUACUGGGUCACUAGAGUGUGGUAGAGGAUAGUGGAAUUUCCGGUGUAGCAGUGAAAUGCGUAGAGAUCGGAAGGAACAUCUGUGGCGAAGGCGACUAUCUGGGCCAACACUGACACUGAGGCACGAAAGCGUGGGGAGCAAACAGGAUUAGAUACCCCGGUAGUCCCUGUCUCUUAUAC
rnacentral:rRNA from 1 species